UAUUUCUUCCCACAAAAAAAAACCGGUAGCUAGUAUUUUUAUUCAUCUCUUUUGCAUUUGAAUAAACCACUAAACAUAAUCCUAAAAAAUUGAAGAUUCAAAGGUGUCGAGAUCUCUUUGGAGUUGAGAAAAAAAUCAUUAUUAAAGUCGAUCCAAUGGUUUCUACAGAAGCUAUUUAUUGGAUAAAACCGCCUAUAAAGUUUCACCUAAGUAUAUCUAAUGACAUCAUUUCGAAGUGAAUGCAAUAAACUGGUACAAAGCAUUAAAGAUUUUGAUGAGAAUAUAAAAAAAAUAUGGAAGUCAAGAUAUCUCAAAAAGAUAAAGAAUAAUGGGAACGUUGUACCACAUGACGAGACAAUUUAUAUGAAUUCUAUAGAAAAUGGAAUACACAACUGCACUAUUUCUCCAGGAAAAACAAUUGACAAAAAUAUUAUUUUUGUAUCGACAGAGUAUUAUUACUUUUUUCUAUAUGAUCUCGAUAAAUAAUAAAAAAAAAUAAAAGAUCAA